UACGUAGGGUGCAAGCGUUAAUCGGAAUUACUGGGCGUAAAGCGUGCGCAGGCGGUUAUGUAAGACAGAUGUGAAAUGCCCGGGCUUAACCUGGGAACUGCAUUUGUGACUGCAUGGCUAGAGUGUGUCAGAGGGGGGUAGAAUUCCACGUGUAGCAGUGAAAUGCGUAGAUAUCGUGAGGAACACCAGAGGCGAAGGCGGCUACCUGGACAAUUGCUGACGCUCAGGCACGGAAAGCGUGGGGAGCAAACAGG
rnacentral:rRNA from 1 species